rnacentral:lncRNA from 1 species
AUCGGAAAGAUAGUGCAGCAGCUUUCACAGGCACAUACUCACAAAGGAGAAAAGAUAAUUUUUUUUUUCUUUCUAUGAAACAGCACUGCGAAUAAGAUACUGUGGCGCUGUGUUCAGAGAAUAUAUACAUAAACCAUCCAAGUUUCUCAUUUACCAUUCUUGUGAUAUUUCAGCUUAAUGAUGGUGGCAAGGCAGCCCGAGCACAUGUGGGGAUAGGUGAUGUGGUUCUUACCAUUGAUGGGAUAAGCACGGAUGGGAUGACUCAUCUAGAAGCACAAAACAAGAUCAAGGCAUGUACAGGCAAUUUGAACAUGACUCUGCAAAGAGUGGCUUCUGUACAAAAACCUGAUCUUAUUAAUGUACCAAAGGUAUGUUCAUCAUCGCAACCAAGAAAUGUAGCAUGUGACACUAACUGUUACCCAUCUGUCAAACCCUGUUGUGGAUAAGCACUGUCAUUCAAACUUUCCUUUCAAUAUAACUUGCUUGAUUUCCAUGUGCUACAUUAAGAACAUUGCAGCGUUUGUAUCUUUGAGUAACUUUACUCUCCCUGCCCCCCCCCCCCCCCCCCCCCCCCCCCCCCGCCAAAAGAACUGAGAGACCUGGCAAUUUAUUAUUAAAAAAAAAAAAAAAAAAAAAAAUGUUAUCUGCCAACUCUCAGAACAUAUUUUUAGAAAGAUAUUGCCAAAGUUUUUCCUCUAUCCCUAGGAGAGAAACACUAGUAGGGCUUUUCGGUGGUGGUGGUGGGGUUCCCUUUUUUUUUUUUUUUUUUUUUUGUUUGCUUUUUACUUGUUUUGUCUUUUUUUUUUAAUGGGCACUGAAAUCUCCCUUUAUAUUUGGAAGAAGCUUAUCUAAAUAUUAGAGUUUCAGAGAACAAUUCCCCUCACUUUCCUUAGAGCAUUGGGGAAUUACUUGAGUUCUUCUAAUGUUUUGUUCUUAAGCAAUAGUUUCAAACCCUCCUUUUUGAUAAGUCUGUUUGCAAACCUGAAAAUACUUACAAAUGGCCUGUAUUUGAAAUUCCUCUCCAAAGGACAUAAAUAACGUAUAGUAUGUUAGUGUUCUGCUGACCGUGAUUUGAAAGGCCACAGUUUGGGAACCACCAUGUUAAAACAUAGCUCCCAGGAAAAAAUAAUAAUAAAAAAAUUUGUAUUUUUUGUGAAGACGUUGGGGUACAUUGACAGAGUGCAA